rnacentral:rRNA from 1 species
AUUGAACGCUGGCGGCAGGCUUAACACAUGCAAGUCGAGCGAGCGGCGGACGGGUGAGUAAUGUCUGGGAAACUGCCUGAUGUAGGGGGAUAACUACUGGAAACGGUAGCUAAUACCGCAUACCAUCAGAUGUGCCCAGAUGGGAUUAGCUAGUCGGUGGGGUAAUGGCUCACCUUGCCGACGAUCCCUAGCUGGUCUGAGAGGGUGACCAGCCACACUGGGACGGAGACACGGUCCAGACUCCUACGGGAGGCAGCAGUAGGGAAUAUUGGACAAUGGGCGCAAGCCUGAUGCAGCCAUGCCGCGUGUGUGAAGAAGGCCUUCGGGUUGUAAAGCACUUUCAGCGAGGAGGCGUUACUCGCAGAAGAAGCAACGGCUAACUACGUGCCAGCCGCCGCGGUAAUUC